AUUGUUCUUUGGUUUAUGAGUUUACUUUAAUCUCUUCCGGUAGAGUUUAGAGUAAUCAUUGCUAGCGUAAGUGUGGUGUUUGGGCUAGGGUACUCAUAGAUAUCCCCUGUCUAGCUGGACCAUGGUAGUAGCGAGGAACGUGACAUUUCCGUAGCUACCUUUGUAGCCCUCAAUCUCGUUAGCAGGAUCAGUAGGGUUUAUAGGUGC
rnacentral:lncRNA from 1 species